rnacentral:rRNA from 1 species
GACGUAGGGGGCCAGCGUUGUUCGGAAUUACUGGGUGUAAAGGGUUCGUAGGCGGUGCGGCAAGUCGGGAGUGAAAUCUCUGGGCUUAACCCAGAGGCUGCUUCCGAAACUGCUGUGCUUGAGUGUGGGAGAGGCGCGUGGAAUUGCAGGUGUAGCGGUGAAAUGCGUAGAUAUCUGCAGGAACACCCGUGGCGAAAGCGGCGCGCUGGACCACUACUGACGCUGAGGAACGAAAGCUAGGGGAGCAAACGGG